AAUAUAUAUAUACACCCUCAAUUGCUCUUCGAAAGUUCCAUCCACAAAAGAUAUUAAGAUUAAGAUUAUUAAUUAGGACUGUGCAUGCACAUGCUGGUUGUAAGAAAAAUGGCUAAGUUAAUACCCUUCACAAAUAUUUUCUUACUUGUUGUUUUGGUUUCAGUGGUGUUGAUGAGAAUUAAAGUGGUUGAAGUUGACGUGUGCCAAGUAAUUUGGGAUGAUAGCUUUUGCGAUGAAGAGAAAUGUUGGGUUAAUUGCAGCACCAAACAUGGUUCCUCGGCCUAUGGCUAUUGCAAAUAUCCCAAUUGUGUAUGCAAAUUCAUUUGCUCUAAAAAACACUAAUUACAAUUUGCUUCAUCUUUAAUUAUACCUAAAACUAUGCACAUGCAAUUACAAAAGGAAGAAGAUUAGAUAUUUUAAUUAGAUAACCCACAUU